rnacentral:piRNA from 1 species
UCAGGGUCCUUUCAGCAGAA